ACUCCUACGGGAGGCAGCAGUGGGGAAUAUUGCACAAUGGGCGCAAGCCUGAUGCAGCCAUGCCGCGUGUAUGAAGAAGGCCUUCGGGUUGUAAAGUACUUUCUAGCAGUGAGGAAGGUGGGUAGUGUUAAUAGCAUACUCAUUUGUACGUUAGCUGCAGAAGAAGCACCGGCUAACUCCGUGCCAGCAGCCGCGGUAAGUACGGAGGGUGCGAGCGUUAAUCGGAAUUACUGGGCGUAAAGCGCAUGCAGGUGGUUGUUAAGUUCAGAUGUGAAAGCCCGGGGCUCAACCUCGGAAUUGCAUUUGAAACUGGCAAACUAGAGUACUGUAGAGGGGGUAGGAAUUUCAGGUGUAGCGGUGAAAUGCGUAGAGAUCUGAAGG
rnacentral:rRNA from 1 species